rnacentral:rRNA from 1 species
UUUUGUAUAAUGGGUCAGCGACUUAUAUUCUGUAGCAAGGUUAACCGAAUAGGGGAGCCGAAGGGAAACCGAGUCUUAACUGGGCGUUAAGUUGCAGGGUAUAGACCCGAAACCCGGUGAUCUAGCCAUGGGCAGGUUGAAGGUUGGGUAACACUAACUGGAGGACCGAACCGACUAAUGUUGAAAAAUUAGCGGAUGACUUGUGGCUGGGGGUGAAAGGCCAAUCAAACCGGGAGAUAGCUGGUUCUCCCCGAAAGCUAUUUAGGUAGCGCCUCGUGAAUUCAUCUCCGGGGGUAGAGCACUGUUUCGGCAAGGGGGUCAUCCCGACUUACCAACCCGAUGCAAACUGCGAAUACCGGAGAAUGUUAUCACGGGAGACACACGGCGGGUGCUAACGUCCGUCGUGAAGAGGGAAACAACCCAGACCGCCAGCUAAGGUCCCAAAGUCAUGGUUAAGUGGGAAACGAUGUGGGAAGGCCCAGACAGCCAGGAUGUUGGCUUAGAAGCAGCCAUCAUUUAAAGAAAGCGUAAUAGCUCACUGGUCGAGUCGGCCUGCGCGGAAGAUGUAACGGGGCUAAACCAUGCACCGAAGCUGCGGCAGCGACGCUUAUGCGUUGUUGGGUAGGGGAGCGUUCUGUAAGCCUGUGAAGGUGUGCUGUGAGGCAUGCUGGAGGUAUCAGAAGUGCGAAUGCUGACAUAAGUAACGAUAAAGCGGGUGAAAAGCCCGCUCGCCGGAAGACCAAGGGUUCCUGUCCAACGUUAAUCGGGGCAGGGUGAGUCGACCCCUAAGGCGAGGCCGAAAGGCGUAGUCGAUGGGAAACAGGUUAAUAUUCCUGUACUUGGUGUUACUGCGAAGGG